AGCUGUAAAUUCCUACAACUUAUGUUAGGAAGGCCUUGCUGGGCAGAGCCCUGUCUGCUCCUCUUUUGCCAUCUUUGCCAUCUCCCUCCCAACCUUCACUCCUGGAAAAGACCCACCCUGGCUUCUGUCUCCAAAGAAUCUUGAAGCAGCUUCCUGGUCGGGCUGACCCUGGGCUCUUCAUGUGGACAGACAGUCCAAAUGCAGCUAUACUGUGUGUGCAAGGAGCCAUCCAGCUGGCAGACACACUUUCCCAUGCCUCCCAUGCCUCCACACUUUGGAUCUUCCUUAUGGGAGCAGUGCAAAAUCAAGG